GACGUAGGGCGCGAGCGUUGUCCGGAUUUAUUGGGCGUAAAGAGCUCGUAGGCGGCUUGUCGCGUCGACUGUGAAAUCCCGCGGCUCAACCGCGGGUCUGCAGUCGAUACGGGCAGGCUAGAGUUCGGUAGGGGAGACUGGAAUUCCUGGUGUAGCGGUGAAAUGCGCAGAUAUCAGGAGGAACACCGAUGGCGAAGGCAGGUCUCUGGGCAUUAACUGACGCUGAGGAGCGAAAGCAUGGGGAGCGAACAGG
rnacentral:rRNA from 1 species